CCUGUUCCCUGUGAGCCCCUCGGGUCCUCACUGCGGCGGUGCUUCCAGUGAGCAGCUCUCUUGGGGGGUGGAGACGGUAAACCAUUGAAGUGAUAAGGAGUAACAGACUCUACCAGCCAGGAAAUGCCUCCAGGGGACAUUUUCUAACAACAGACUGAGCAAAAAGGGAGAGAAGCAAAAACAAGGACUUGGAAUGAAGUGGCCCCUUGGAGCUGACUUCCAUCUUCCCCAUCACUCCCAGCCCUCGUUGAGGAGCCACUGGCACCACUGAGCCUACAUAUCAA